UACGUAGGAUGCAAGCGUUGUCCGGAUUUAUUGGGUUUAAAGGGUGCGUAGGCGGCCUAUUAAGUUAGUGGUGAAAACGUUCGGCUUAACCGGAUACCCGCCAUUGAUACUGAUAGACUUGAGUGCGACAGAGGGUGUUGGAAUGUGUGGUGUAGCGGUGAAAUGCUUAGAUAUCACGCAGAUCACCAAUUGCGAAGGCAGAUGCCUAUGUCGUAACUGACGCUGAGGCUCUAAAGCGUGGGGAGCAAACAGG
rnacentral:rRNA from 1 species